rnacentral:lncRNA from 1 species
UCAAAAACGCAGUAGAGAACCGUACGAAAAAUCUGCAGAACUUCUGGGGGGCAGGGAUGCCCCUCUGGUACUAUAGGGGAGAGGGUUCGGCUGGCUGAGACCAUGGGUGAAACUGCAGGAAAACACUAGUUUUUCGAGCUAACGAAAGCCGAACCCCUGCCCUGCAGUCGCGCGACCGAACCAGUCUGUUUUUGGGGCCAAAACACAUGGAAUCUGCAUGUUACGUGGAGUUGCAGCCUACUGAGGAAAGCCGGUCCCGAGGCGCCAGUUGCGCGACCGAACCUGCGUUUUUGGGCAAAAACACACGAAAUCUGCAUAUUACGUGGACUUGGAACCUACUGACGAAAGCCGAACCCGGGGCGGCAGUCGCGCGACCGAACCUGCGUUUUUGGGCAAAAACCACAUGGAAUCUGCAUAUUACGUGGAUUUUGGGGCCUUUUCAAAAACGCAGUAGAGAACCGUACGAAAAAUCUGCAGAACUUCUGGGGGGCAGGGAUGCCCCUCUGGUACUAUAGGGGAGAGGGUUCUGCUGGCUGAGACCAUGGGUGAAACUGCAGGAAAACACUAGUUUUUCGAGGUAACGAAAGCCGAACCCCGUGUUGUUUGUUCGUGGAUAAGUUUCGGUUGCUCCCGUGCUCUG